CAGGGGCAAAAUCAUAAUUUUACCAAAACCCUGAUUUAAUAGUAUCAUUUGGUAGAACAAAAGAUUUGUGAUCUAUUGGUGAAAAUUUCAUUAUUUUUGGACUUGUAUUUUUGAAGUUAUGCAUGUUUGAAUUCCAUGAGUCGACUCAUGAGUCAGCUCAUGGCACAAUGAGCAGCUUGGCACGCUGAAAUUUCUGUUGGCACGCUGGAUUUUUGGCUUGGCACGACCUGUGAG
rnacentral:lncRNA from 1 species